UAGGGGUUGAACAUGAUCAUGUGAUAGCCAGCUUUGGGAGAGAGAACAGCACUGUCUGAACAUAGAAACAUCUAAAAGAGUUUCCAUACCGCGAGAGAUAGAGUCUUCAAGUGAACAUUGCCCCUGCUUACAAACCCUUUAUUCGAGUUCUUUCAAAGGCAUCGACGGCUCGGUGAAAAGUGCUGGAGAGAAGCUGUUCCGAACAGCCUGACAUCUCCGUGGGGUAGAAGAGAGACGCAAUCUGAGCUGGCAUGCGGGAGUUUUCGGAGUCAUUUGACGGCAAACAUUGUACAAUUAAAUAAGAACUCGCUCGCAGAUUCUUUUCCUUGAUUGCGUCAUCAGUUUGGUAUUUAAAAACUCUUAACUGUCUUAAUUGUCGGUGAUACAAAUUUGCAUCAUUCUGUUUGAAAAAGUAGCAACUGCAGGGCAGGAGUUUGAAUCCUGGAAUAAAACGGGGAACACAGAUUACACCCCUCAGUCGCCUUUUUUGUGGGGGACUGUCGUAUUUUCCCUCAGCUCAACACAUUUCCGAGGUUUUUAGGCAAUAUUUGAAACAUGGUUGGGGAAAUGGAAACGAAGGAGAAGCCCAAGCCGACUCCUGACUAUCUGAUGCAGCUCAUGAACGACAAGAAACUGAUGAGCAGCCUGCCAAACUUCUGCGGUAUCUUCAACCACCUCGAAAGACUGUUAGAUGAAGAGAUUGGACGGGUACGGAAGGACAUGUACAAUGACACACUGAACGGCAGCACAGACAAAAGAACAUCGGAGCUCCCGGAUGCUGUGGGGCCCAUCGCACAACUCCAAGAGAAACUCUAUGUGCCUGUCAAAGAGUUUCCAGACUUUAAUUUUGUUGGAAGAAUCCUGGGGCCCCGUGGUCUGACAGCCAAGCAACUGGAAGCAGAGACGGGCUGCAAAAUUAUGGUGCGAGGCAAAGGCUCCAUGAGAGACAAGAAGAAGGAAGAGCAGAACAGGGGAAAACCUAAUUGGGAACAUCUGAAUGAAGACCUGCAUGUCCUCAUCACUGUGGAAGACUCUCAGAACCGCGCUGAGAUCAAACUCAAAAGAGCUGUCGAGGAGGUCAAGAAACUGCUAGUUCCUGCAGCGGAAGGUGAAGACAGCUUGAAGAAAAUGCAGCUGAUGGAGCUGGCCAUUCUCAACGGCACAUACAGAGAUGCCAAUAUCAAGUCACCAGCCUUAGCUUUUUCCCUGGCCGCCACCGCACAAGGUCCCCGCAUCCUCACAGGCCCCUCCCCGGUGAUGCCCACUGCGGCUCUGCGUACCCCUGCACCCGCUGCCCCCACCCUCAUGCCCCUCAUCCGACAGAUCCAGACCUCCGCCAUCAUGCCCACAGGCACGCCCCACCAUGCUGCGACCCUCGUACCCCAGACCCCUGAGUCAGGCAUCAUCUAUGCACCCUACGAUUACCCCUACACCCUUGCCCCUGCAACCUCCAUCCUCGAAUAUCCCAUUGACUCCAGUGGUGUUUUAGGUAUGGCUUUCCCAACAAAAGGCUAGUAAUGCUCAGAGGUUUAACAGUCUACAACCCAUACGAGUGUUAAAAAAUGCUUUGCUUUACAGCUGCCUUGGAACUAAAAAAGAGCAAAUGGAGAAAUUGUUUUUUUUUUUUUUUAAGAAGCAAAAGACUAAAGAUCAUUACUACUGAUGUUUACACUGGUCUUAACUGUUUUUUUACUCAUUGAAAUAGAUAUUUUCAGAUAAAUACUGAUAAUUAAGCCUUUAUUACAUUCCUCUGUUUUAAAUAUAAUCUAUAUUUGUUUAGCUUGUAAUAUUUGUAUGAUUUAUCUUCCUGCAACUGUAUCUUAAAUAUUUAGAGAGUGAUCAGUAUUAUUGCUAAAGUAACUUGCUUUUUACAGAUGAAAUAGCUUGUAGUGCAUUUAUAUGACCUGAGGCAUCUAGUGUGUUAGGAGUUAUUUGUUAGGAAUACAAGGACUUUAUAGUCAUGGUUUAAAUUAAAGCAUUACAAAUUUGUGUUUUUAUGAAAAUACUUCAGAUAAAAAAGAAUUUGGCAGUGGGCAACAUCAAAUAAUGAAAUUUUACUAAAAUGGGGCCCUUGGAAUUCUAAAAGCAAGGUCACUUGUUCCUUGUAAUUUGGUCCUACAAGCCUUGUUAAACAAUUUUUGUGAUGUAGUUUUAAUGCAUUUUGAUUAAUAAUCUGAUGUAAAUUCCUGUUUUGUUGGCAAUGUUGCGCUCUGAGCAGGUGCAGUGACUACUAAAGUACGAAGGCAGGAUAUGCGCGUCCAUCCUUACCAAAGGGUAGUGACCGCAGAACGAGCCGCCACGGCAACUAACCAAUGACCCUCUGAGCUCUCAACUCUUCAUCCAAUGAUGACCUGCCUGCUGACCAGUUCUCUGGCUCUCGUCCUUCGCUUCUAUGAUUUGGCGGCCUGCCGGCGAGCCCAGAAGCAGCUUUAAUUCGCUUAACACAGUCGAGAAGCUGUGAUGGCCCUAACACUACCACCCGCAGGACAGAAACACUCCCCUUAACUGAGGACCUUCUUGGUCAGGUGACCUGUGCUACUCAGCCUGCACUGAAGUGUCAAAGCAAUAACACUGUCUGGGCAAAGUCCCACUAUUAGCCUUUCACACACUAAAUACACACAAAUUUGUAUUGAUUUCUAAAAAUGAAUGGUUGAGCAUAAUGUUCAAAAGGAUAGACCCAAAAACGAAAACAUCUAUCAUCAUUUACUCACCCUCAUGUUGUUCCAAACCUGUAUGACUUUCUUCUGUGGAACAUGGUCGUAUGGAUUUGGAACAACAUGAAGGAGAGUAAAUGAUGACUCAUGAUUCAUUUUUGGGUGAUUUGUCCCUUUAACUCUCUUAGUGUGUGCACUCACAGUCUCUUAUAGUUCUUAUGCCAUCCUGAAACAAAAUAACACAUUUGAGUAAAUAGUUGGUGAAACCAGCUAUUUAAAACUGACUUUUAGUUUGAGAUGUCCAUAAGGGAUGUAAAAGCCAUGCUUGCCUACCAGCGUUUUAUUCGGAGAGCUUUUGAAAUGCAUCCUGACACAUGAACAAGUGUACAAACGCUGAGUAUCAAUUGAAAUCUUUUUGAUAUGAGGGUGCUACGCAGGAAAUGAAUAUAUAUUUUUCCACAGGUGUUCAUUUUUGUAUUCAGAAACAGUGUUGUUAAAAUGUGAUGAACAAACCAUGUUUAUUUCUUUACAACGACAAAGAAAUUUUAGAGACCAAAAGAGUGUCUUUUUUUUUUUUUUUUUUUGUCAAUCAAAAGAAGUGCCUUAUUUAACAUCAUCAUCAAUUACGAACAAGUAUGAAUGUUCAUAUCAGGUAUUUCUCUUUAAGUCCUGUUUAUGAUAAUGAAAACCAGAGGUGUACAGAACUACGUUGCAGGCUUUACACUACAGUUUUUAAAACACUCUUUUAAAGUCUAUUUGAUCAUUUUUCUUUACGAAUAGUGGUUAAUAGAGUUUACCCUGUCACAGUACAUACAUUUUGACCCCUUUACACUAGCUAACUGUUUGUUUGUUUUUUAUAAUGUAUGUGUACAAGCUCUCUAAUAUGUUAAUAGACCCAUAACUACAUCUGUUACACAAGCAAUUGAGCCCCCAUCAAACUGAGCAUCAAGUCUGAAAUUGUUACUACUUGGGAGAAUCGCAUGAACCUUGUCAAGACCAUGUUCAGGACAUACACCGCCCCCCCCCCCCCCUUUUUUUUCUUUUCUUUAAAAAACUACUUAUUUUAUGAUAUUAUUUUUUUAUUUUUUUUUACAUUUGUUAAAUCAUUUAAGAAUAGUUAAGGACAUUUCCCACCAAAAUUCUCAUUAACAUAAAGCAAAAAAAUAUGUUGGUAAAACUAAAAUUUUUGGACAUCGUGUAUUAUUUCUUGAACUGCCAUUUGUUCUGUUUUAAAUAAAAAUUCUUCUGUUUUGUAUUGCUAUGUUACAGAAAGUAGAACUUAAUGAAAAUCACAAUUGAGAAAAAUAGGAAAUACAAAAAGUAAAACAUUAGACAUGCUAGAAUUGUAAAAUAAUCCCAAUUAUCCUAAAAAAAUAAACUUAAUUUUCGCAAAAAGUUUAUAUAUAUAUUUCACUCUACCUAUAUCUCAAGAAGCAUUUAUUCAAUUAGGCAGGUUAAAAAUGAUAAAGGUUUAGGAUUAAUUAGUUUUACUUGUCAUAACAGGUUGGACUCCUUAUGAAGAAUUUAAUUGUACCAGAAGAGCAUUUUUGUUACGGACAUCUCACAUUUCCUCAUGCCUUUCUAUGCAGAUGAUUUUCAGUUAUUUAAAUGUAACUGAAUACAUUUCCUCUAGUCGGUCUUCCAGUUAAAAUAUCGAACCAUUUCAGAACAGAGGAGAAUGAAAGUCUAUUAACAAACUAGAAUUACACUUUAUUAUUUGGUUAUCAUAACUGAAUUUUGUGGAGAUGCAUCUACUUUUUUAAUAAUAUUGGUUUUAAGAAGAGCAAAUGCAAUAAUGUUUAGAUGUUUGAGGUUGAUGCAGUUGCAUGUCUUUUUUAUAUAUAUAUUAUUAACCUGGACAUUGCAGAAUUCGGCAAAUAAUUUUAAAAGAUGAAAUAUGUUUUUACAUGGAUCUCUCACUCAGUAAGUUUAACCUUGAACUGGAGUUGUUUGUUUGUGUUUCUUUUGCUUUUAUUGUUUGCUUUUCAUUCAGUAUUACUAUAGACUGUGUGUCCGUGUGUGCGAAUAUGUGUUCCAUUGUGUUUACGGGUGAUUGUUUGUGCAAGUGUUUAGUGUAUUGUAUAUGCCAAUGAACUGCAACUCUCCAUUGUUAAGCUUUUAUUAUUAUUAUUUUUACUUUUUUUGGAAACCCAAGCAGCUCCCUGGAUUGGAAAAUAUACAGUUCUAUUUAUAACCAUUGUAACAUUUUAUAAUGUAUUUUUCUAUCAUAUUUUGUAAGUGAGAAAUAACAUUAAAUUAUGUUUCCAGAUAUGAACAGUAUGCCUUAUUACAAAAGUUGAUAUUUGAGAGAAACUUUCAGACACCAGAUAUUUGAUGUUUUUUUCAUGAUGAUAUAAUUCUAUAGGAAAAUAAAAGGAACACCAGUUUAAUUAUAAUUUAAUGAACAAUAGUUGGUCCCAAUCUCACUCAGAGUAACUGUUACAAAAGACAUUAUUAUUUGUUGGGGUGUUCGGUUUGUCAUUGCUUUGCCUCUGUGCCUUCUUAUGUAAAUUGUAAGCUAAUAACCAUUUUAGUUAUAUAAUUUGAUUAAUCUUUUCUUGCUUAUUGUACUAACAUUUGAUGAUUUCUAUACAUUUACAUUAACCCCAUCAAUAAUUUGAAUCUAUAGAACGGGAGUUGUGUGAAAUUAAGCAAAAGAGUUUUUUACUGACAUUGAAAUAUGCUGGACUAAACUCUGUACUGAGAAGCAAUAGCGGAAUAUUAAAAUCAUAGUUUUAAAAAGAAA